AUUGAACGCUGGCGGCAUGCCUUACACAUGCAAGUCGAACGGUAACGGGCCUUCGGGUGCCGACGAGUGGCGCACGGGUGAGUAAUACAUCGGAACGUGCCCGAUCGUGGGGGAUAACGAGGCGAAAGCUUUGCUAAUACCGCAUACGAUCUACGGAUGAAAGCAGGGGACCGCAAGGCCUUGCGCGGACGGAGCGGCCGAUGGCAGAUUAGGUAGUUGGUGGGAUAAAAGCUUACCAAGCCGACGAUCUGUAGCUGGUCUGAGAGGAUGAUCAGCCACACUGGGACUGAGACACGGCCCAGACUCCUACGGGAGGUAGCAGUGGGGAAUUUUGGACAAUGGGCGCAAGCCUGAUCCAGCCAUGCCGCGUGCAGGAUGAAGGCCUUCGGGUUGUAAACUGCUUUUGUACGGAACGAAAAGCCUUCUUUUAAUACAGGAGGGUCAUGACGGUACCGUAAGAAUAAGCACCGGCUAACUACGUG
rnacentral:rRNA from 1 species